CUGGCUGCCCCCCGCCCUCAUCCCGGGGACCACCGCGGUGGCAAGGAGCCUCUUCCAGCCCUGGCUGCCACAGCCACUGCAGGGGCCAGCCCAGGACAGAGAGCCUGCCUGGGAGCCUGGCUGGCCCUCCACGCUCCCUGCAGCAAGGACAGAAAUGGUAGAGGAAAGCAAGAAAGGAGACCGCAUUCAUUAAUCAUCGUGGGCAUGAGGCUGUAACUAAAUGAACAAAAGGCACCAGCAUCGUCUAUGGAGCUCUAAGUUGUACAUCUGUGAAAGCAAAAUAAGGAAGACUCUUCCCCAUUUCAGUCUCCAUUUUCUAACUAUACCAAAAACCCCCAAAA